GAUGAAGAACGCAGCGAAAUGCGAUAAGUAAUGUGAAUUGCAGAAUUCAGUGAAUCAUCGAAUCUUUGAACGCACAUUGCGCCCGCCAGUAUUCUGGCGGGCAUGCCUGUUCGAGCGUCAUUUCAACCAUCAAGCCCCCGGCUUGUGUUGGGGACCUGCGGCUGCCGCAGGCCCUGAAAAGCAGUGGCGGGCUCGCUGUCACACCGAGCGUAGUAGCAUACAUCUCGCUCUGGGCGUGCUGCGGGUUCCGGCCGUUAAACCACCUUCAUAACCCAAGGUUGACCUCGGAUCAGGUAGGAAGACCCGCUGAACUUAAGCAUAUCAAAGCGGAGGA
rnacentral:misc_RNA from 1 species